rnacentral:sRNA from 1 species
GUAAAAACAGAGCAAAUAGAUAAGCACUGGAGAAUAUAUCCUACACAGUAGUCCUUCCAUCAGACAGAUCUCCAAGUUUUGUUUCUCAUUUUUCUUUCUUCUUUCUGGCCUAAGCUCUCAUGUAUCCCCUCCUAUACUAGUUUUGCUUCCUGCUUCGAGCAGAAAAGGAGGGCUGACAGCAAAACAACAGAGCAGUUAUCAGAACUUUGAGAUCUCUAAUCAGAAAAUACCAUUCCUAAACCUCUGGCCCACUAAUCUUCUAAAUAGCAUUAUUCCAUGGUCUAUUUGUUUCUAGAAGCAAACUUAAAAAGCAACUAAAUCCCACUUUAUCCUAAUUACUUUGACUUGAAGGUCAUCAAAUAAAGGAGAGAACUUAGUAAAUUACCCAGGCAGCCUCACAUUUCCUGAUCUGUCAGUUGUCAAACACCAGUUGGUAGCAAAAUGCUGCUGCCUGUGAUCCUUGACUGAGUUGGAUGUUUCUGGGAGAGACUUAAUUUAUGUAAAAGGUACUUUUCUUUUCUUUCUGAAGGACCGUAUAAUUGAUGCUGGCCCAAAAGGAAAUUAUUCUCGCUUCAUGAACCACAGUUGUAAUCCCAACUGUGAAACACAAAAGUGGACAGUGAAUGGAGAUGUUCGAGUGGGACUAUUUGCUCUCUGUGAUAUUCCUGCAGGGAUGGAGUUAACAUUUAAUUAUAACCUAGAUUGUCUGGGCAACGGCAGAACGGAGUGCCACUGUGGGGCAGAUAACUGCAGUGGUUUUCUAGGAGUGCGGCCAAAGUCGGCAUGUGCGUCAACAAAUGAAGAGAAGGCAAAAAAUGCUAAGUUAAAACAGAAGAGACGAAAGAUCAAAACAGAACCAAAGCAGAUGCAUGAAGAUUACUGUUUUCAAUGUGGAGAUGGUGGAGAGCUGGUCAUGUGUGACAAAAAAGACUGUCCCAAAGCAUACCACCUCCUAUGCCUUAACCUGACUCAGCCACCAUAUGGAAAGUGGGAGUGUCCGUGGCAUCAGUGCGAUGAGUGCAGCAGUGCAGCUGUUUCCUUCUGUGAAUUCUGUCCACAUUCAUUUUGUAAAGAUCAUGAAAAGGGGGCCCUGGUUCCCUCUGCACUGGAAGGCCGCCUCUGCUGCUUGGAACAUGACCCCAUGGCUCCUGUGUCACCAGAAUACUGGAGCAAGAUAAAAUGUAAAUGGGAAUCACAAGAUCAUGGAGAAGAAGUAAAAGAAUAAAUGUGUGGUGUCCCCUCCUUUCUAUUUAAGUGAAAAAAGCAAAUAGAUCAUGCAUUUAAAAAGAAGAGACUGCUACAGUGCAUACAGCCUUUGCCAUCGGAACUGCCUUAUUAAAGCAAAAAUGGGAAACCAGUUCAUGCAGGCAGAAGCA